rnacentral:rRNA from 2 species
UGAGGAAUAUUGGUCAAUGGACGCAAGUCUGAACCAGCCAAGUAGCGUGAAGGAUGACUGCCCUAUGGGUUGUAAACUUCUUUUAUACGGGAAUAAAAGACAUUACGUGUAGUGUUUUGCAUGUACCGUUAUGAAUAAGCAUCGGCUAAUUCCGUGCCAGCAGCCGCGGUAAUACGGAAGAUGCGAGCGUUAUCCGGAUUUAUUGGGUUUAAAGGGAGCGUAGGCGGGUUUUUAAGUCAGCUGUGAAAGUUUGAGGCUCAACCUUAAAAUUGCAGUUGAUACUGGAGACCUUGAGUGCGGUAAAGGUAGGCGGAAUUCGUGGUGUAGCGGUGAAAUGCUUAGAUAUCACGAAGAACUCCGAUUGCGAAGGCAGCUUACUGGGCCGUAACUGACGCUGAUGCUCGAAAGUGCGGGUAUCAAACAGG